AAUAUUGCACAAUGGAGGGAACUCUGAUGCAGCGACGCCGCGUGAGUGAAGAAGGUCUUCGGAUCGUAAAACUCUGUCCUUGGUGAAGAUAAUGACGGUAGCCAAGGAGGAAGCCCCGGCUAACUACGUGCCAGCAGCCGCGGUAAUACGUAGGGGGCUAGCGUUGUCCGGAUUUACUGGGCGUAAAGGGUGAGGAGGCGGUUGCAUAGGGCCGAUGUAAAAGGCGUAGGCUUAACUUACGUUAGCAUUUGGAACUGUGCGACUUGAGUGCAGGAGAGGUAAGCGGAAUUCCUAGUGUAGCCGUGAAAUGCGUAGAUAUUAGGAGGAACACCAGUGGCGAAGGCGGCUUACUGGACUGUAACUGACGCUGAGUCACGAAAGCGUGGGUAGCAAACAGG
rnacentral:rRNA from 1 species